GGGCUGGGGGAAUCACUCUAAGGGCAGGGCUGGGGUGAAUCACUCUAAGGACAGGGCUGGGGUGAAUCACUCUAAGGACAGGGCUGGGGUGAAUCACUGUAAUGACAGGACUGGGGUGAAUCACUCUAACGACAGGGCUGGGGGUGAAUCAUUCUAAGGACAGGGCUGGGGGUGAAUCACUCUAAGGACAGGGCUGGGGUGAAUCACUCUAAGGACAGGGCUGGGGGGGAAUCACUCUAAGGACAAGGCUGGGGGUGAAUCACUCUAAGGACAGGGCUGGGGGGAAUCAAUCUAAGGACAGGGCUGGGGUGAAUCACUCUACGGACAGGGCUGGGGUGAAUCACUCUAAGGACAGGACUGGGGUGAAUCAC
rnacentral:lncRNA from 1 species